CUCCACGCUUCAAGAGGUCAUCCAUGGAGGACAGCCACAGUCCAAACAGGAACCAGCUCUUCCUGCAGAAUCCCCCUCUUUAUCUACAGUACGAUGAGAGCGAGAGAGAGAGAGCGCUCAGAACGCUUGUUUGAGACACCUCUGACUGCGAGAUUCCUCCGAUUGUUACCCAGUGACUUCAACAGGAAAGCCUAGAGGCUAAGAUAAAAGAAAGAGAGCGGGAAAACCGUGUGGAAAAGAUAGAGAGACAGAGAGAGAGAGACAGAGACACACAGAGGUCUCAGAAUGACGUUCCCCAGGACUGUAAAAACGGCCCUCAGAGAAAGCAGUGCGAAAGUGACGGCCAAAGAAAAACAGAACAAACGAGGAGUGGGAACAACACAGUGGUGAUCGACCUGAGCCCUAGGACCAUGCCUCAGGACUACCUGGCAUGAUGACUCCUUGCUGUUCCCAGUCCACCUGGCCGUUGUGCUGCUCCAGUUUCAACUGUUCUGCCUGCGGCUAUGGAACCCUGACCUGUUCACCGGACGUGCUUGUUGCACCCUCGACAACUACUAUGAUUAUUAUUAUUUGACCAUGCUGGUCAUUUAUGAACAUUUUAACAUCUUGACCAUGUUCUGUUAUAAUAUCCACCCGGCACAGCCAGAAGAGGACUGGCCACCCCUCAUAGCCUGGUUCCUCUCUAGGUUUCUUCCUGGGUUUUUGGCCUUUCUAGGGAGUUUUUCCUAGGGAGUUUUUCCUAGCCACCGUGCUUCUUUCACAUGCAUUGCUUGCUGUUUGGGGUUUUAGGCUGGGUUUCUGUACAGCACUUUGAGAUAUCAGCUGAUGUACGAAGGGCUAUAUAAAUACAUUUGAUUUGAUUUGAUAUUAAUGCGACUCUGUGCAUCCAAUGGAAAUGUCUGAGAUAGGUAAUACCAGGAGCCGCUUGCGG
rnacentral:lncRNA from 1 species